GGAAUGCUGUCAUUGUCUCAGCCCCCCAGGCUGCUACUCUGAGGACUUCAGGAGAUGAGGCUCACUUUGGUCCUUCAAAGAUUGAUUCUCAGAAACAAGGACUUAGAUGCCCCGCAUGUAUGUGGUAAUGAUCCUGGGAAGCACAAGUAAGGGAAUGGAGAUAGACUCUUAUUGGAUGCCCGCCUGUGAAGGAAGGAGAUAAAGGACCAGCAAAUUUCAGUGGAAUAUGGAAAAAAUGUUGAUAAGAAAAACGGACAAAACGCACUGCCCGAUGAAGUGAACCUCCAGGAAUGAAAACUAAGAAACAAAACAUGGAAGUGUCGGGAUCCGGGUGGGAGUCCCAGGGAUCAUAAGAGAGGCCACGCAUUCAGGUCCAUCUUGCCUUACCUCUCAUGGCUGUCCACAGAGUGACUCAAAAUCAUUUUGAAAUUUGAUGUAAAGUGAGAAAUGGAUCAUAGAUUUAAUAUUUAUUGCUCACAAUCCUGCUUCAGGUAGUAGAGAAUUUUUAAGAUCUACUUUUGCUCGAGUGUGUGAGCCCGUGCCUGUACGUAUGGACACAUGCAAAGGAUAAUGAAGAAACUCAGGAACAUAUACAUGCUGUUGAGGAUGAAGAAUUUUAAGUGAGCUUGCUAGUGUUGGGUUCUAAUGUAA